rnacentral:rRNA from 1 species
CGUAACAAGGUUUCCGUAGGUGAACCUGCGGAAGGAUCAUUACCUAGAGUUUGUGGACUUCGGUCUGCUACCUCUUACCCAUGUCUUUUGAGUACCUUCGUUUCCUCGGCGGGUCCGCCCGCCGGUUGGACAACAUUCAAACCCUUUGCAGUUGCAAUCAGCGUCUGAAAAAACUUAAUAGUUACAACUUUCAACAACGGAUCUCUUGGUUCUGGCAUCGAUGAGGAACGCAGCGAAAUGCGAUAAGUAGUGUGAAUUGCAGAAUUCAGUGAAUCAUCGAAUCUUUGAACGCACAUUGCGCCCCUUGGUAUUCCAUGGGGCAUGCCUGUUCGAGCGUCAUUUGUACCUUCAAGCUCUGCUUGGUGUUGGGUGUUUUGUCUCGCCUCCGCGCGCAGACUCGCCUUAAAACAAUUGGCAGCCGGCGUAUUGAUUUCGGAGCGCAGUACAUCUCGCGCUUUGCACUCAUAACGACGACGUCCAAAAGUACAUUUUUACACUCUUGACCUCGGAUCAGGUAGGGAUACCCGCUGAACUUAAGCAUAUCA